rnacentral:rRNA from 1 species
AGCAGCCGCGGUAAUUCCAGCUCCAAUAGCGUACAUUAAAGUUGUUGCAGUUAAAAAGCUCGUAGUUGAAUUUCGGGGUUAGUAGGUUGGUCAUGCCUCUGGUAUGUACUGGUCUCACUGAUUCCUCCUUCCUGAUGAGCCGUAAUGCCAUUAAUUUGGUGUUGCGGGGAAUUUGGACUGUUACUUUGAAAAAAUUAGAGUGUUUAAAGCAAGCUAACGCUUGAAUACAUUAGCAUGGAAUAAUGAAAUAGGACGUUUGAUUCUAUUUUGUUGGUUUCUAGGAUCGACGUAAUGAUUAAUAGGGAUAGUUGGGGGCAUUAGUAUUCAAUUGUCAGAGGUGAAAUUCUUGGAUUUAUUGAAGACUAACUACUGCGAAAGCAUUUGCCAAGGAUGUUUUCAUUAAUCAAGAACGAAAGUUAGGGGAUCGAAGACGAUCAGAUACCGUCGUAAUCUUAACCAUAAACUAUGCCGACUAGGGAUCGGAUGAUGUUAAUUUUUAAUAGUACUCAUUCGGCGCCUU